rnacentral:rRNA from 1 species
CUGCGAAUGGCUCAUUAUAUCAGUUAUAGUUUAUUUGAUGAAAAGUACUACUUGGAUAACCGUAGUAAUUCUAGAGCUAAUACAUGAUAAAAUCCUCGACUUUGAAGAGGUGUAUUUAUUAGAAUGAAACCAAUAGACUUCGGUCUGUUUGUGAGUAAUAAUAACUAAUCGUAUCGCAUGCUUAGGUAGCGAUAUGUCUUUCAAGUUUCUGCCCUAUCAGCUUUGGAUGGUAGUGUAUUGGACUACCAUG